rnacentral:lncRNA from 1 species
CACUAAAUCCACACACAUUUCUCACACAUUUUACUAAUUUUCACUAAAUCCACACACAUUUCUCACACAUUUUACUAAUUUUCACUAAAUCCACACACAUUUCUCACACAUUUUACUAAUUUUCACUAAAUCCACACACAUUUCUCACACAUUUCACUCAUUUUCACUAAAUCCACACAUUUCUAUCAGUUCUUUUUUCAGCAUGUCUCUUCCAGGUUAUUUUUCAGGGCCGGAGCUGGUGGACUGGUUGGACUGGCUGGAGGAGCAUCACCCCGGUUUCCCCAGACCAGUUUAUGCCCGCCUGCACGGUGAGGGACGUCCUUCAUCCGAGGCUUACGUGUUCCUCAGUCCGGAUUUUCCUCUGCAUGGAGAAGAUGGAUUUGCUCAGUUCAUCUCCCUUCCAGAAGUCGGUCUGUACUACCCCUUUUACUUCCCCACCCAGUGUGACAGCAGAGCCGAGUACUGGAAGUGGUUCCUGUACAGCCUGGUUGCUCACCUGAU